rnacentral:rRNA from 1 species
UGGGGAAUCUUGGACAAUGGGCGAAAGCCUGACCCAGCAACGCCGCGUGAAGGAUGAAGUAUUUCGGUAUGUAAACUUCGAAAGAAUAGGAAGAAUAAAUGACGGUACUAUUUAUAAGGUCCGGCUAACUACGUGCCAGCAGCCGCGGUAAUACGUAGGGACCAAGCGUUGUUCGGAUUUACUGGGCGUAAAGGGCGCGUAGGCGGCAAUUCAAGUCAUCUGUGAAAUCUCCGGGCUUAACUCGGAACGGUCAGAUGAUACUGCUUUGCUAGAGUGCAGAAGGGGCAAUCGGAAUUCUUGGUGUAGCGGUGAAAUGCGUAGAUAUCAAGAGGAACACCAACGGCGAAGGCAGUGCUCUGGGCCGGAACUGACGCUGAGGAGCGAAAGCAUGGGGAGCAAACAGGAUUAGAUACCCAGUAGUCCCUGAGCGGGCUGGCAAGGCGCAU